rnacentral:rRNA from 1 species
UACAGAGGUCUCAAGCGUUGUUCGGAUUCAUUGGGCGUAAAGGGUGUGUAGGUGGCGCCGUUAGUCGGGUGUGAAAUUUCGGAGCUUAACUCCGAAACUGCAUUCGAUACUGCGGUGCUUGAGGACUGGAGAGGAGACUGGAAUUCAUGGUGUAGCAGUGAAAUGCGUAGAGAUCAUGAGGAAGACCAGUGGCGAAGGCGGGUCUCUGGACAGUUCCUGACACUGAGACACGGAAGGCCAGGGGAGCAAACGGG